rnacentral:rRNA from 1 species
GGUUAAGUGACUAAGCGUACACGGUGGAUGCCUUGGCAGUCAGAGGCGAUGAAAGACGUAGUAACUUGCGAUAAGCCCAGAUUAGGUAGUAACAACCAUUUGAGUCUGGGAUUUCUGAAUGGGGAAACCCACUUACAUAAGUAAGUAUCAUUAACUGAAUACAUAGGUUAAUGAGGCGAACCGGGGGAACUGAAACAUCUAAGUACCCCGAGGAAAAGAAAUCAACCGAGAUUCCGAAAGUAGCGGCGAGCGAAAUUGGACUAGCCCUUAAGCUUUACACGCGUUAGACGAACGGUCUGGAAAGUCCGACGAUACAGGGUGAUAGUCCCGUAGUUGACGACGUGUGUUCAGUGAAAUCGAGUAGGGCGGGACACGUGAUAUCCUGUCUGAAUAUGGGGGGACCAUCCUCCAAGGCUAAAUACUACUGACUGACCGAUAGUGAACCAGUACCGUGAGGGAAAGGCGAAAAGAACCCCUGUGAGGGGAGUGAAAUAGAACCUGAAACCGUGUACGUACAAGCAGUAGGAGCAGGCUUUGUCCUGUGACUGCGUACCUUUUGUAUAAUGGGUCAGCGACUUAUAUUCAGUGGCAAGGUUAACCAUCUAGGGGAGCCGUAGGGAAACCGAGUCUUAACUGGGCGUUCAGUCUCUGGAUAUAGACCCGAAACCAGGUGAUCUAGCCAUGGGCAGGUUGAAGGUUGAGUAACAUCAACUGGAGGACCGAACCGACUAAUGUUGAAAAAUUAGCGGAUGACUUGUGGCUAGGGGUGAAAGGCCAAUCAAACCUGGAGAUAGCUGGUUCUCCCCGAAAGCUAUUUAGGUAGCGCCUCGGACGAAUACUACUGGGGGUAGAGCACUGUUAAGGCUAGGGGGUCAUCCCGACUUACCAACCCUUUGCAAACUCCGAAUACCAGUAAGUACUAUCCGGGAGACACACGGCGGGUGCUAACGUCCGUCGUGGAGAGGGAAACAACCCAGACCGCCAGCUAAGGUCCCAAAUUACUACUAAGUGGGAAACGAUGUGGGAAGGCUCAGACAGCCAGGAUGUUGGCUUAGAAGCAGCCAUCAUUUAAAGAAAGCGUAAUAGCUCACUGGUCGAGUCGGCCUGCGCGGAAGAUGUAACGGGGCUAAGUAGUAAACCGAAGCUGCGGCAAUGUGCUUUUGCACAUUGGGUAGGGGAGCGUUCUGUAAGCGGUUGAAGGUGUGUGGUAACGCAUGCUGGACGUAUCAGAAGUGCGAAUGCUGACAUGAGUAACGAUAAAGGGGGUGAAAAACCUCCUCGCCGGAAGACCAAGGGUUCCUGUCCAACGUUAAUCGGGGCAGGGUAAGUCGACCCCUAGGCGCGAGGCCGAAAGGCGUAGUCGAUGGGAAACGGGUUAAUAUUCCCGUACUUCUUACAAUUGCGAUGGGGGGACGGAGAAGGCUAGGUGGGCCUGGCGACGGUUGUCCAGGUUCAAGUGCGUAGGCUUAAGAGUUAGGUAAAUCCGGCUCUUUUUAAGGCUGAGACACGACGUCGAGCACCUACGGGUGUGAAGUCAUUGAUGCCAUGCUUCCAGGAAAAGCCUCUAAGCUUCAGAUUGUAAGGAAUCGUACCCCAAACCGACACAGGUGGUCGGGUAGAGAAUACCAAGGCGCUUGAGAGAACUCGGGUGAAGGAACUAGGCAAAAUGGUACCGUAACUUCGGGAGAAGGUACGCUCUCGACGGUGAAGUCCCUCGCGGAUGGAGCUAUUGAGAGUCGCAGAUACCAGGUGGCUGCAACUGUUUAUUAAAAACACAGCACUGUGCAAAAUCGUAAGAUGACGUAUACGGUGUGACGCCUGCCCGGUGCCGGAAGGUUAAUUGAUGGGGUUAGACUUCGGUCGAAGCUCUUGAUCGAAGCCCCGGUAAACGGCGGCCGUAACUAUAACGGUCCUAAGGUAGCGAAAUUCCUUGUCGGGUAAGUUCCGACCUGCACGAAUGGCGUAAUGAUGGCCACGCUGUCUCCACCCGAGACUCAGUGAAAUUGAAAUCGCUGUGAAGAUGCAGUGUACCCGCGGCUAGACGGAAAGACCCCGUGAACCUUUACUACAGCUUGGCACUGAACAUUGACCCUACAUGUGUAGGAUAGGUGGGAGGCUUUGAAGCACGUACGCCAGUAUGUGUGGAGCCGUCCUUGAAAUACCACCCUUGUAGUGUUGAUGUUCUAACGUCGACCCCUUAUCGGGGUUGCGGACAGUGCCUGGUGGGUAGUUUGACUGGGGCGGUCUCCUCCCAAAGAGUAACGGAGGAGCACGAAGGUGGGCUAAUCACGGUUGGACAUCGUGAGGUUAGUGCAAUGGCAUAAGCCCGCUUGACUGCGAGAAUGACAAUUCGAGCAGGUGCGAAAGCAGGUCAUAGUGAUCCGGUGGUUCUGAAUGGAAGGGCCAUCGCUCAACGGAUAAAAGGUACUCCGGGGAUAACAGGCUGAUACCGCCCAAGAGUUCAUAUCGACGGCGGUGUUUGGCACCUCGAUGUCGGCUCAUCACAUCCUGGGGCUGAAGUCGGUCCCAAGGGUAUGGCUGUUCGCCAUUUAAAGUGGUACGCGAGCUGGGUUUAGAACGUCGUGAGACAGUUCGGUCCCUAUCUGCCGUGGGCGUUGGAAGAUUGAAGGGGGCUGCUCCUAGUACGAGAGGACCGGAGUGGACGAACCUCUGGUGUUCGGGUUGUGUCGCCAGACGCAUUGCCCGGUAGCUAAGUUCGGAAUCGAUAACCGCUGAAAGCAUCUAAGCGGGAAGCGAGCCCUGAGAUGAGUCUUCCCUGAUACUUUAAGUAUCCUAAAGGGUUGUCGGAGACUACGACGUUGAUAGGUCAGGUGUGUAAGUGCUGUGAGGCAUUGAGCUAACUGAUACUAAUUGCCCGUGAGGCUUAACCAU